GACGAACGCUGGCGGCGUGCUUAACACAUGCAAGUCGAACGGAAAGGCCCUGCUCUUGUGGGGUGCUCGUGUGGCGAACGGGUGAGUAACACGCGUGUAACCUGCCCUUGUCUUUGGGAUAACAUCAGGAAACUGGGGCUAAUACCGGGUAGAAUCUCCUGAUCCAUGGGGGGGAUUGGAGAGUUUCGGCUGUUGGGGAUGGAAUCGCGGCUUAUCAGCUUGUUGGGCGGGUAGUGGCUUACCAAGCCUUUGACGGGUAGCCGGCCUGGGAGGGGGACCGGCGACAUGAGGCCUAAGAUACGGCGCAGACUCCAACGGGAGGCAGCGGUGGGAAGUAUUGCACAGUGGGCGGAAGCCUGAUGUAGCAGCGCCGCGUGCGGGAUGACGGCUUUCGGGGUGUGAACCGCUUUCGCCUGUGACGAAGCGUGAGUGACGGUAAUGGGUCAAGAAGCACCGGCUAACUACGUG
rnacentral:rRNA from 1 species